UUGCCUGAAAAAUGGAGUUGGACUACAGGGCUCUGUCUUAAGCCGGUUUAAAUCAUACUUGAAAGAAAGAACUUUCUCUGUGAAAAUGGGUACUAAGUCCUCCUCUCUAUUGAGUAUUGAAUUCGGCGUCCCCCAAGGAUCAGUGCUUGGCCCCAUUUCUUUACUGCUCACUUU